rnacentral:rRNA from 1 species
UACGAAGGGGGCUAGCGUUGCUCGGAAUCACUGGGCGUAAAGGGUGCGUAGGCGGGUCUUUAAGUCAGGGGUGAAAUCCUGGAGCUCAACUCCAGAACUGCCUUUGAUACUGAGGAUCUUGAGUACGGGAGAGGUGAGUGGAACUGCGAGUGUAGAGGUGAAAUUCGUAGAUAUUCGCAAGAACACCAGUGGCGAAGGCGGCUCACUGGCCCGUAACUGACGCUGGAGGCACGAAAGCGUGGGGAGCAAACAGG